CCUCUCUCUCCCACAAGCACAGGUCAUUCUUGAAGGCGGCCAGGUACAAGAGUUCCUGGGGGCCACUCCUCUGCCUGCAGCUUCUACCUGCCUUCUCUGCCAAGCCCGUUGCCAUUCUUUCAAGCCAUCCCAUUGUUCAGACCAUCUCCUCAAAGAUCACACCGAGUCCAACUGUCACCUCCACUCCCCAGGCACUCCAUCCUCCUAUGUCCACGACUGGCCAAUUGUUGCUAGGCCUGUUCUUACUCACAUUCAUAACAAUAGCUAGUAUUUAUUGAACACCUACUAUCUGCCAGGCAUCCUUCUGAACCAUCAAUGUCCAACAGAACUUUCUGCGAUGAUGGCAUUAUCUGCUUCGUCCAGUACAGUCAUCACUAGCCACUGAGCACUUGAAAUGCAGCUACCGCAACUGGGGAAUGGCGUCGUUAAUUCAGGGCGGUUCUAAGCCCGUUGCGUUAACUCGUUUAGCCUUCUCAAUAGCUUAUGAGGUAGAUGUAAGUAUGGCCCGGUUUACAAACAUGAAAACAAGGUACCAAAAGUAAAAGAAUUUGCCCAGAGUCUCCCCACGAGCCCGUGGCAGAGCUAGGAUUCCAGAGCGCAGGCCGCCCGGUUCGCACCCACUCUGUUCUUGUCUCUGCUUGUCUGCCUGCCUGUGCUGGGAGACCAACAGCUCCAGGGAGAGAGAGGGGAGGUUCCCUCAUGACUAACCCUUGGUGCUGAUGCCCCGGAGGUCAGUGAUCUUCAUGAGCAUCCUUGGGAACAUGUAGGGCUGGCUGGGCCGCCGCCGGCGGGCAUAGAGCCUCAGGGCUUCCAGCAGUGGCUCCUGCAGCUUGUCUACUUUUUCAGGUUCCUCCAGGUCCAUGCGGUCUACAGGAACAAGCACAGUGCAGUGAAAGAGAAAGAAAUGGGGGACACAGUGACAAGUGGCUGAUCCCCAGCUGUCCCUGACCUAUGGCACUCCAAGCCCCAAACUCUGUCCUAUCAGCCCUUUGCCUUAUUGUUCCUGGGCCUACCCAGGCCACUUCCCCUGCCCCACGCCCUGUACCUUCUCCCCUCUGGUAAAUCACUCCUGCCCACA